CUGGCGGAUACUCCGGGCGGCGGCGUCCCCGCCCCAUUGCGCAGGCGCAUGGGAGGCGCGCUGCCGGCCUUUGCUGUCUUCUUUUUAGAUUGGGCCCCGGCAUGGCAUCCGUGCUUGUGACGAAGAUGCUGGCGUCUGCCCUGAGCCCUCUGCUCCGUUGGAGCCCUCCCCUGGCGAUGCCCCGCGCGCUCUCCACUCUCCUGCCCGGAUCCCAUCGCGCUGCCGGUGCUGCUGGUGCGAAGCCCAGGGCGUGGGAGCUCGCGGGACUGCCCGGCCGCCUGCUGCCCGGCCUGCAGCUGCCCAGCCUACAGCUUGCCCUGGGGUUCAAGACCAAGGGCGUCAUCAAGGAGCGCUGCAAGGACUGUUACCGGGUGAAGAGGCGCGGCCGCUGGUUCAUCUACUGCAAAACGAACCCAAAGCACAAGCAGAGACAGAUGUAGUUCCCAUCACUAAAAUGACGUGCGAAACUGCAUCACUUCCUUGCGGAAUGGUACCGUCUAUCCACAGAAAAAUAAAAUGUAAACAUUACCUAAUCGACCUUCAGGUCUUCUUGACUCUGCUACCCAGGCAUGUCACCUGUAGCAGCCCAGUCCCAUCAGCUAUGCAAGCAGAGCCCCAGUACGGGAAAUGCACCGUUUUAUCUUCUGUGCAUGCUGUGUGCACUCGGGCUGGAGGGCAGAAGGGCCUGUCCACUGCUCCCUUCUGCUUGCGGGAAUCAUCGCAUUUGCCCAUCUCAGCUCCACUCCCAGGGCCACUCAUCUCUCAUGCAAAGCCACCAAAGUCCCAGCAGGAACGCCGAUGGAAGUGGCAGUCUCCAAGCUGCUCCUCCCUCCGGAAGAGGAAAUGUACGCAGACAGCCAGGGUGCCUCUGUCAUCCUGCAACAUGACGGGAGGUUCACUAGCAGAUGUGAAAACACGCGGAGGUGGUAGAACGGUUAAAGCGGCGCGUGUGCUCAGCGGGACUGAGUAGAUCCGGGCAGAGGUCUCCAGUGAGCCUUCACCUGGAAGGGGUGGAAGGGGCACCUCGGAAGGAGAAGGAAAGCACGAAGAACUCGGUCAGCGGCUUGGGUCCGCCGAGUACCCCUGUGAAAGGCUGGACUUGCUACCACACCCCACGCGUGCAGCAAGCUUUCCACGUGUCACAGGGAAGCCAAGUCAGGACGUGUGGCGAGGAGAAUUGUGGGAAAUGAUUUGCAUAAAUUUGGGGUAGGAAGACCUCCUCUUCAUCAAGGUCCAGACUCCCAAAGUCAGCAGAGAAGAAACACAGCAGGCUCACUUUAGCAGGUGAAAGCCCGUGCUCCCGGGCUAUGAGGAGCUAGCCGUGAAAGCGGCCACUUGGCACCAGAUGCUGGAUGGCAGAGAACUGGUCUACAUUCCCUACGCUGUUUCCCAACACCGUGGCAGGCUCCGUCUGCUCCAGGAGCCAAAUCUCCAAACCCGACUCACCGUGCAGCCUCUGGCUCCUGGUCAGGAGGGAAGGAAAAUCAGAUCCCCUCCCUCCUGCCAUGGAGAGCACACCCUAUCACCUUGGCCCUCUGUCCCCUCAGGGGAAGCUGGCAACCAGUCCUGAGCUUUCCAAUUCCCAGAGACACAGUCUCACACCACUGGGGUGGCUCCCUCUGUGCUGGUCCUCAGGGUCCUGUCCACCCUCCCGGUCUCCCCUCUGACAAUGCUGCCUCAGGGGGCAGGGGCCUGGAGGUCGGGCCCACAGUCCCCCCUGAAAAGCAUGGACAGUCCACUAGGGCCUCCGCAGACCCUCCAGGACGAGGGGGAAUGUCACCAUUCAGCACAUUCUGCAGGACAAGACGGACAGGGAGGGAAUCCACACAUGGAUGGCAGCAUCCCAGGGAGGGUUGCAGGCAUGCAUAAGGCAUUGCAAACCCUAGAGGUCCAACAAGCUAACAGAGAAACGGACAGAAGACAUGAAUAGGGAGAGUCCAAGAAAAUACACUGAGAUAUCGUGGAUCUCACUAGUAAUCAUGGAAGUGAGAGGAAAGUAGAAAUGAAGCACGUGUUCGCCCAUCAGAUUUGCAGAAGUUAAGCAGAGAAUGCUCUUCAGUGUGGCAAGCUGCUGCUGAGUGUGGACUCCCGUCCCCUGUGGGCGGUGGUGCCUGUGUAGGGACCAGACAGCAACCUCCACAUAUAACACGUGUGCCCCUCCCGGCCCCACUUUAUGGCGUGCUUGGUGAAGUACUUGCACACGGAGAGAAUUCUGGGAGGCUGUUCUCAGAGCAGUAUUGUCACGGCAAAGAGCUGGAACGAGCUCGGGGUUGUGCGGAGGUUAGUGGUUACGGAAAGUCUGGGAGGAGCCCUGGGACAAAGGACACGGCCUCUGUGAGCCACGGGACACCAGCUGGGAUGUGUCUCUGCAUCUUGCCUCUGGAAGAAAGUUCCACGACAGUGUGCAAAGUGUGUUUUCAUGUAUGUGAGCAUUACACUCAAAAAUCUAACCACAUGUUUUUCCAAGUAAAAAUAUUUGGUAAGAAAAGUUCUCGAGAAGCACACACCAAAUAGCAAUGACAGGUACUUCUAGAGGGCACGGGACGGGGCGGGAAGGUCUGGAGCGGCUGUCUCUGUUGCAAUAGAGUUUGUUUUGCUUUGUUGGGAGGAGUUAGGUUUGUGUCUCACUUGUACAGCCUGAGAGAAGAAUGUAGGAACCUGUGGACAGGAUGCCCCAUGGAAGAGAAUUUGAGCCACAUAACACUGCAGGAGAAUUGAGCCCCUGCACGGCCUCCCCCCAGGCCUCCUCUCUGGGCCGUGCGGUGCCGCUUCUUCCUGGGGUCGAGCCGCUAACACCAGGGGCCCCGUGCAUGCCGACUCCGCAUGUGUCAGCCACGAGCGCAGUCGUUGUGGGCGGGGACGCCCGGUCCAAGCAGGUUUCCAGGUUUUCAGCCCUGCGCGCCCUGCCUGAGCCUGCACGCGCCCUCCUUAUCCACCCCGCACGACCGCCUCCUUUUUGUGUUGAACUUGCACGAGGCAGCUGGCCCGAGCCCUGACGCGCAGCCUGCACCCCCUCAAGUGGCUGCACCUCCCUGCACCCCCCACCGUUCCCAUCCCCCCUUUCCCUUCAGGGGCCACGAGACCACUGAAUAUCGUCUCCCACUUGUAGGCCUCUGUGUUUUGUCCCGAGUACAGUUGGAGGUGUACAAUGUGGGACUCGUGCACACUUUGCCAGCGAGCACACGGAGUCUGGUUGGCACCUGUCACCACACACGGUUAGAGAAUCUGUGUGCGGCUGAGCGACUUUCAGAGGUGAAAUGCGGUAUCACGGACUGUCGUCGCCAUGCUGUGCGUGAAUCCCCGGGCCUUACUGACUUUGUGACUGGAGGUUUGCGCCGUGGGACCCUCAUCCCUGCCUCUGACACCCAGUCUGUGCCGUGCGUCUGCGAGCUCAGCUCCCCACGUCGUUGCAAAUGGCAGGAUUUCGCUCUCUUUGGUGGCGGAGUCCUGUCCCGUUACGUGUACCCCACCCCUGCCUCAUCCACCCAUCAGCCCGUCACUCAGGCUGCUCCCGUAUCCUGGCUACUGCAGACAAUGCGGCAGUGAACGCAGGGGCAGAUGUCUUUUUGAAUCGGCGUGUUUGUUUUCUUUGGGUAAAUAUCCAGUAGUGGGAUUGCUGGAUCGUCCGGCAGUUCUGUUUAAUUUCCUGAGGAGCGCCCAUACUGUUUUCCCAUACAGCAUCUCUUCAGUCUUGGAACACGAGUGGAGAAGACAGAUGUGUCCCACUGUUUCUUCACCCCGUUGGUAUGUUUGAGCUUCAGCACCAUCCGUUUCUCCAAAGGAGGGUCUCUUGCUGGUCUUAAGCCUCUGCCUGUUCUUGUCAAUAAAGUUUUAUUGGAACACAGUCACGUUCCUUCCGUCAUGCGUCGUCUGUGGAUACUUUUGUGUCGCGUGGGCAGACCUGAGCGACUGUGUUGAGGACCUGAAGUGUGGGCUCUCCUGCCCUUUAUAGAAGACGUCUGCCAACCCCGUUCUAGAACCUUCUGUCUGGCAAGCGCAGCCUCUAGCCGGGGGAGCCCAUGUUGUAUGUGAGCAUACACGGUGGUCAGUUCAAGCAGGCAGUGCGCAGACAGGUUCUCAGGUGCUCCGGGGUUUUCAUCUCAGCUCCAGACACCUUCAAACAACACACUUACUCAUUUGAAAAGUCAUGCUGUGUAAAAAACAAAAAGAUUUAAAGAGAAUGUCACAACCAUCCUCUCCUCCCUCCAGUGUUUGCUGUCCUCUAAACCCGAACGAACACAUGUGUGUUUUGGGUUCCCGUCACAGCGGGCAUGCCGUUUGAAAACGGUCCCACAUAGGACCUGAUCCUUCCUGAAUUUGGGCUGUUCUGGCUUUUCGUUGUUGUGGCCAAGUUUAAGUCCUACAAUGAUGUGCUUUCCCUAAAUUUAAAGUUUAAAGCCUUUAACGGCUCACUGAACUGGUCUUCUCAGGGUGGCCAAAGACUACUCUUCGGGAAGAAUGUGGAGAACACAUCAGUUGUGUGUUUACAAAAACCUCCUUUGUCUAAUUGAGCAACUUUCUGUGGCCUCUGUGGUUCACCUGAGUGGCCAGGUGAACCGCAGCCACGUAAUUUUACGUGCCCACCAGCUGUGGGUAGUGCCCUCCCUUGUUUACUGCAAAUGGAUACAAACGUAUGAUGGACAUUAAUUAAUGGGUUUCAUUAACUACAUUCCAAGUACUUCUUUACUGGAGGCCCAGGUGACAGGGAACGUCCAUAGUGGAUUGGUUCCUGUGGCCGCCGUAACAGAUACCAGACUUGCUGGCUUAAGGCAACACAAAUCCAUUCACCCACCCUAACCAGGGUGACUGCACCUCAGGACCCUUAAUCACACCUGCAAAGACCCUAUUUCAAAUAAGGUGACAGUCUGAGGCUUUGGGUAGACAUAAAUUUAUCAAGGAUGCUAGUCAACGCUCUACAUGCAGAUGAAGAAUAUUUUUGAAAAUAAUUUUAAGUUAUUGCUAAUAGAUGAUGUAUCCACAAGCGGGGUCAUCUUAGGUCCUGUCAAUACCCAAGCAAAUCCCGGUCAUCCCUGCCCCCUCCCCCUUUUGCACACCUACCCAGACCUGGGAACGCAUCCACUCAGGGUGCACGCGAGCAGCCGGCAAGGGGGGGGGUCCUCCUUGUCCCAGGAGCCUCCAUCCCUAGUUUCCUCAACAAAUUGGGAUAGGAUAACGUAAGCCUUGUUUCUGAUUUAGGGCGUUUUUCUGCAUUUGUGCAAAUUUUUAUUUCCUCUUUCCUUUUCUAAUUGUAUAAAGCAUUUUGACCAUUUGAGCAUUUGUAAUUAGUGGUUGUGAUUCCCAGUUAGAGGUCAGUCAUUUUUUCCCUCCAAACUUGUCGUUUUUCUUUUUAAGAAGCAUGAAAAAAGGAGGAAUUUACAGAACAAAGGGCUGUUUUUGCAUUGCACGAGAAAUUGAUUUUGGCUCUGUCAAUAAUCACAAACAGAGCUGUCUGGAAGCGGCCUGCUGGGCUUCUGGGGUCCAGCCAAGCAGCCCCCACCUGUGGGCUUUAGACACGCUCCCUCCUCUGGCCACGGCGUGAAGGGUUCGUGGGCUUUCCCUCAGAAAAUGAUGCGUGUUUUCGUUUACACAGUGAUGCAGGCACGUGACUCUGUGCAGAAAUCCCGGCAGGUCAGUGGCGUCGCGGGAAGUCCUGAGUGUGGCUUUUCCUAAGAGUUCUGUCUCGGGUAUGGCCCUUCCUUCGUGGUCCGUGGCACGGGAUCACCCACUACAAAACCUGACCAGUUUAAGUACCUGACGUGCCGUUUGAGAUAGAACAGAUGCUGUCUUUUCUGAUUAGUGAAUCAAGCGUCGUGCUUCCUCGUUUGCUUAUCCGCGCGCCCAAGUAUUUAUUAAGCUUUUGCAUCACAUCCUGUGCUGAACACACGGUACGUAUCUAGAUUCAUGCACGAAGAGUCCUGCUUGAUCAGCUGCAGAUGUGCAGUCAGCUCUAUAUUCUGUCCGCUGGAGGAGACGGGCUGGAAAUCACAGCGGUUUACACAGAAUAAGCAAUGUCCUGCCCUUGUCCGUGGAGGAAGGCCAUGUGAAGGCGCUCGGAGCUAUUAGAGCAGCUGUCCGUGUCUGGUCUCUUUCUGUCCUGUCCCUCACCAACAAUUCUUGGUGCUUUAUUUCCAUGUUCACAGGAACCUCAUGGCACAAGACGGUGGCUGUAGCCCCAGCUAUUACAUCCAACAUUCUAGGCAGACAGGCAGGAAGGGCUGGAGGACAAACCCGACGCCCACCCCUCCUCAUGUCCCUCUCAUCUUUUCAAUAAGCAGCUCUCUGAGACUCACCCAAUGAUUUGCUAACUUUCCAGAAGCUACUCCUGGCUUCAAAGGUGGAAAAGCACAUCUCUCAGCUGCGUGGGGCUGGCCAGGGUCUGCUGCUGUGGAAGGAGAGAAAGGGAACUGACCCCAACCCAUAGUUGCUCGCGGUGCUCCCGUCUGUGUCCAGAACCUUCUGUGCCUCCCGGUGAAAACCGUGGGUGGCGCCCUUCUCUGUGUAAGGAGAGGGCAGGCUUCACCCCACUCCCAGAACACUCAGUAAACCUGCUUCUCCGGACACCUCGGGGGCUCCGUCGGUGACGCGUCUGCCGUUGGCUCAGGUCAUGAUCCCAGGGUCCUGGGCUUGCAUCCCGGGUCAGGCUCCCUGCUCCGCAGGGGGUCUGCUUCUCUUUCUGCUGCUCCUUCCCAAUUGUGUUCUCUCUCACGCUCACGCUCUCAAAUAAAUAAAAUCUUAAACAAACAAACAAACAAACAAACAAAAAACCCUGCUUCUUAGGAAUCGCAGGUGGUAGGAUUCCAGCGGUUAGUUUUGAUUCAUAUCCCAGUCAUGGUCACCAAAGAGCUUCACAUGGCUUCUGGGCUCCCGGUAAUUCAGAAUUAGAUUUGCUUCUCUACUGUUGGGAUUUUGAAACGCGGGUUUUGCUGUUUGCUGAAGUGUUUAAUGCAAUCAGUGUCGGAGUUUGAAGGCCUUACUCUGGAUCCUGAGUAGGCGCUCUAUCCCAUUCUCCCCCCUCCCCAUGCUGAGCAAUGGGCCUGGCUCGCAGGCCCAUGCUGAUGGCCGUCAGCCUGGAGGGCGGCUCACAGACACCGAGGGGAGGGAAAGGGGCGGCUGAACCCCAGCUCACUUCUGCCCUGGCUCUGCUACCGGGCAUCCCAGGCCCUCUGGGUCUUACCAAGUUCCAGAUUCCCAUGGUCCCAGCCCUGGGGGUCAGGGUCAACGAAGGUUGGAGCUGUUCUCCAGGCCCCUGUCCCUGCCUCCCUCUGUCUCCCUCUCCCUCCCUCUGCCUCUCUCUCUCUCCCUCUCCCUCCCUUCCCCCUUCCAAUGCCUAAACCUGCUGUCUGGCUUCUUCUCUGUUCUCUUUCUGGCCUUGGUUCUCUAGACUUCCUCUCUUGUCCGCAUGGCCCCUUGCUCGGAUGACACAGUGCUGAGUUCGCCUGUAAGCUGGGGUGGGGACAGGUCUGGAAGUCCCCGCCGUUGGCUGCCCCCUUCCCUCUCCAACCUCCAUCCUUCUUGACUGUCUCCUUUCCUUGAGUCCCUGUGAGUUGGGACCUGGGCUGGUGACGGAGCCGGGUCUGAAAGAGGCAGACACUGGAGCGGGAGCAGCGGUUUCCAUGUCCAGUCACAGAUGCGGAGGGCGGGAAGCAGGGCAGAGGGCCACAGGCAAGGCUGGACCCCUCCACCGCUCAGUGUGUGCACGCCCUGUCCCCCCUGCAGACGCUGUGGUUUUUCUCAGUAGGCUCCACGCCCAACGUGACACUUGAACGCACGACCCCGAGACCCAGAGUCACGGGCUCUACCGAAGGACAAGGGGGCCCCUCUCUCCCACCAUAUCCUGCCCUGGGCAGGGGGCUCUGAGGCCUAUUGGGGUGGGCUCUUGGCUCCCGAGGUCUUCAUUAAAGGGAAGUGCAACGUGAGCCCAGCUCCUGGCUGCUGGGCCGCAGUGGAGGCCAACCCAAAUGCUGGACGUCCUGAUGGAGACGCCAGCACACACCCCGCGCCAUGGCAGCCGCUGAAAUCUUGGCUGUCCUUGCUUCUGGGAAUAACAUCUGUGGCUAACAGAGAGCUUCAAGUGCCAGCAGUUGGAAAGGGCUGUCCGUGAGGUGUUGUCGGUGUAGGGGCACCUGCCCAGGACAUCUUCGUGCACGGUGUGAAGGCGCAGCUGAAUGCCCUUCGGUCACCCCGGGUGUAGGUCGCUGUCAAGGUCACAGCAGAGGAGACAGAGGGAGGGAUUUCUAGUUCAUGCUCCAACAGGCUCCUGCGGGCAGUGGAGACAAGGCCCAGCCUCUCAGCAGACUGCAGGCUGAGUGCAUACCGGAGAAGAACACAACAGGUCCUCCGUCCUCCGAGAAGCCAAGCCUCUGAUUGUGAAGCUCCCGGGACAUGGGUCCUGCCCAUCCCGGAGGUGGCUCUCACGGUGGGCGGGCCCUCGGGGGAGAUGCAGACACAGAGCAGCCCAUCUAGUUCAAGGAGGCUGGCCAGUGUCUGGCGCCCGCAGACAGAGGCCAGAGCCCGUCCCCGGGCAGGGUGCAGCUGGCCGGCAGGGGCCGAGGGCCUCCGUGGUAGGGGUUCCACGUAAACUCUGCAGGCUCGGGGGAGCUGGGGAGAUCUCUGAGUCGGGGGUCAUGACCGAGGAAUUCUUCAGGAAGAGCAGCUGGAGGUAAGGGCCGGUGGCAGCGGGCUCUGCCGUAACAGCCCGCCGACGUGGUCAGGAGCACAGACGGCGCGUCACAGUGGCUAAAGCAUCAGUGUCAGGUGACCGCACCCAGCAGUCGGGAUGCGGCUCUCGGGCCCCCGGUAGAUGCGAUCCACACUUAAAUCAGUAGAUUUGGGGAAAGUGGUUGAGUCUCCGCGAUGUGGGUGGGUCUCACCCAAUCAGUUGACGAUCAUAAGAGCAAAGACAGGUUUGCCUGAGAAGGAGUCUGGCCUCAUGCCUGCGGGGAAGUCGCCCGGCCUCCAUUUCCAGCCUGCUGCCCUGUGAAUGAGACUCAGGCCUGCAACACCAACGCUUCCCCGGGUGUCCAGCCUGCCCGCCUGCCCCAAAAUCCUGGAGUCAGCUCCUUAACCAAUAUCCUGUCGGCUGUCCUUUGGAGAACCUGUCUGGCUGCUGCUGACCGUCCUGUCCCCCAGAGGCUGGCUGGCUCCUAGUCCAUGCUAGUGUAUUCCCGGCGGCUCUGCAGGCUGGGUCCCAACGACGGAGCCCCUCCUAGCCACAGACGCCUGAGGUUCUCCGGGGCACUCGCCCUGCGGCCCCCGGAGGCCCCCUCGUGGAGAGGCCAUUUACAGGGCCAGAUACCCCAGGACGCUGGGCGUGGGUCUCUCCACCAGGGGCUGUGACCUCUGCCGCAGCCCCCACGUGCCAGCCAGGGUGGAGGACGGCUGAGCCCAGCCAGCCGCGGCGUGUGACCGGGCAAGACACCUGCUGAGCACACGGCGCCACAUGCGGAGCAUCUGCGUCCCCGAGGGCCGCGUGCUGGAGCCCCAGGCAGCGUGACGUGUGUGACAGCGGGGCUUGGGGAGGUGGCGCCGUGUAGACGAGGUGGUGAGGGUGGGGCAUGCUCUGAUGCGUUAGUCCCUCCCCCGAGAGCCGUCGAGAACAUGCGCACGCCCCCGGGGGAGGAUGAGGAGUGGGUGUGCGGCACAGUGACCCCCAACUUCCAGCCUUGGAACUGAGAGAGACGCCUGUGUGUGGUUUCGGCCGCCCAGCCUGCGCUGUCCUGCAACGGCAGCCGAGCCCAGGAGCCCACGCAGGUGACCCUGAGUCGUGUCACUCAGAGUGCCCGCGGGCUCUCACCGCCCCAGCACACACACCAGCCCUGGGGCCGGCCACUGAGUCCAUCCUCACGCCCCCCGCCCUGUCCGUCCGUGCUAGAGCCAGCGGCCCCCACCCUGGCCUUGUCCUCAGGCCAGCUCUAAGGUUGGUUCCAAAUUUCACACAGAUUUUAAGGCAAAAAUGCUCCCCUUUCUCAUUUAAUGCAACAGCAACGUGGCUUAGGAGAUGUUUAUCCAGAGCCGUGAAAGUGGGCAUUGUUGUCAACGGGGCCGCUGAAAGUGAGUAGCUCAGCAUUGGAAAACUCAUGAUGGAUUUUUCAUUUCUUCCCCUUUUAAGGGUCUCCCUGCCGAGACUGUGCUGUGCGCGUGUGCAGACAGGAUUUAGCCAGACUCCCCAAUCUCUCUCUUUUUUAAUAAACCGGCAUAAAAUAGAAUUUAUUUACAUAAUGCAAUGAUCCAUGAAGGUUACCAUAACACUGAGGACCACAUUAACCGCUUGAGUGGAAUUCAUUAGAAAUUAACUACCACUUAAAUUAAUUUUCCCAUAGUCACAAGGCUGUAAUGGCGGGAGAAGGGACCGUCCAUCAGUGCUGCUGACAGGGGACCUGUCAGCACCGUUAUUUAUAGGUGGGUGCGUUAACCACGGAGCAGGCGCACAGGGCCAAACAUGGAGCCUGCAGACUCGUAAAGGCUGCUCAGAGGCCCCAGAUUCCCUUGUUAAUAAGUAAUCUGGCCUCCCGCACCUCACCCGUCCACGCUGGGCAAGGGUCGGCCUGAGGGACUCUGGUCACCAUGACCUACAGACAGAGGGGCAACUCUGUUUUAAAAGCCUUGCCGUGAAACGUGUUCUUAGGAGCAGAGCUGGUUAGAGUCGCGGCCUUUCCGGAACUUGUAGGGACGCUGGGCACAGAGCCCAGCCUUACAUUAACUGCUCACACUUGUCCGUGGGGACAUUGGGGGACACAGACGCCCCAAGGGACAGCACAGACUUCAACGAAGGGAGAGCUCGCAGAGACCUGCUGGGUCUCUUUAGAAGGGUAGAGUGUGUGAGUGUGAGUGUGUGAGUAUGUGCGUGCACAUACGUGGUGUGGCGUGCAUAUGUGUGCACACACGUGUGGGUCACACAGUGCGAUGUGUGUGCACACCUGUGGUGCUGCUGUGGGCACCGAUCUGCACUGCCCAGGGCUGCUAGUUCGGGAGGAUUCAGCGGAGGGGAGCCGGAAGCCAGCGCUGAGAGCCCCGCAGACUGGCCCUGGGUUCUUACUGUCCCACACCACGCCCUUGUUGGGCUGCCUGCCGUGUGGGCAUUUCCAAGCUAGGAUCCCAUGGCCCAUUUGGACAGAGCUGACUGUGGCUGUCCUGGGACUGAGGACAGAGCACCGUGUCCUCCCUUCUUCAGGCCAGAAAGCUGAGUGGUGGCGGGGCCACGGCCUGGAGGGGGAGUGGCAGCAGAGCCACCUUGUGGCUGGACCCAUUUUCACACUGUGUGAGUGUGCGUGCACAGAAGAGGCAGGGAGAGGGCAAGAGACGCCAUCACUGUGGGACCCCAUGUGGACCCAUGAGGGACGCGUGAGGGCCAGGGCAUCCAGGGUCACUUCCUGGGGUCAGGGUAAGGGCUGGUUGAAAGGCCCGGGGAAGGAGAUGGUGGGGAGACAGAGGUCUGGACCACUCCAGUGGGGAGCUCCCUGAGCCACAGUCUCUACUCCUCCUGCCUGAGCGGUGAGCAGAGUUUAGGUUGGCGCUCCGGGCUCACACUCUCGGCCAUGGUAAACCCCAGCGAUCCAGGGGCUGCCUCGGACGAUCUAGGAAGGCUGUUAGGCCUCCAGAGAGGGUGGGAUGGAGCGGGGGUCCUGGCCUGGAUGUCCCUCAGCCCCAAACCACCUGUGGGACUGGUGUACAUGCUUGCGGGCUCCCCAGUGAUGGGCCCAGGGUGGCUGUCUGUGUACCGUGAGCUGGUCCCCGUCCCUGAAAGGACAAGCCCCUCCCACCCAGAGUGGGCUGGGGAGGGGGCCUGGAGGAUUCACAGCAGGAAGCCCCCCAGAGUCUCCCCAAGAUGGCAAUGGGGGCUCUGGGCUUAGAGAUCCAGGCGUGGGGCCCCCAGCCAGCGAUGGAGUGCAUUCCUGGGGAAAAGAGAGGAGACCUCCCAGUUUGCCCCCCAAUCAGAGCCACCCCCCUCCAGGGCCACAGCUCCACACCCUCUGGGCCACACUGGCUUCCCCUGGGGAGUGCAGGUGUGAGCGAGCCUUUGGACCAGAUGCAGUGUGGGGACAUCUGAGGCCAGGGUGGAGGGGAGAGACCCACUGUCGAGCUAACGCAGGCUGAGGAGUGGGGCUGGCAGAGGGGAGAUGUGAGCCAGGACAGGUGAUCCCAGGAGGGUCAGCACUGUACUCUUCUGGGAAGUGCCUUCCAGAGCUGGGCCCUGUUGCCCCUGAAUGUCUGGGCCACAUGGGCUGUGGUGCUCACUUCCCAGCAGGGGCUCGGCAGUGUUCACCAGAUCAGCCCAGGGGCCUGCAGCCCAGCAGUCUCUCGUCCCCUAGACUGUCCACUCUGCUUGGACGCACUCAGGGGAUUCUGUUCUGAGAGCGCCGUGGGCCUCUCAGGAGCUCACUGCGCAAAAUGCUCUGAGUGGGGUCUUGCAGAAGAGGACGCAUUGAUGUGGUUUCUUGUGCCUUUCCAAGGAGCUUCCCUUCAAGAUGUAAACAUCUUUGGGAAGUCUCGAGCAGCUCUGAAAUGAGCUUUCAGCCAACCGAGCGUUCGCACACGUGCACCGUCGUGGGUGCCCAUUGCUCACUGCCCCUGCCCCUCCCUCCCCGGCUCCUGGUGCCCAGGCCCCUUUCCUCCGCGGGCGGCCUCUGUUUUCUGCGUGGCUAUGCUUAGCCUGUACUGUGUGUUCCUGUUAAUGCAGAGCUGUUUUCUUCCCCAACUCUGCAAACUGGAAACAGCACAUAGCCCGAGGCCACUGGAAUAAUGCAGGUGUCACACGUUAAAAAACAUAUUUGUUUUGUGUCCUCUGAGGACAAAUGAUAGACAUGUAAAAAUGUUUUCCCCGCUUUUCUUCCAGGGAAUACUUAGUUUAGAAUUAACUUCUGUCAGAGGAAACACCGUUCCCUGUGCCGUGCCGUGUUAUUUCCCACCGCGUCUAUUUUAGAGGGAAAACGCUGCCCAGUGUUUGACACGUGUGAUUACAAGUUUACAGAACCCACUUACGUUGCUGCUGUUAUUACUGUUUCUCUUUAGGAAAAGCUACUCAUUAGAACCAAACAGAAGCUUUCCUUAAGGAGGAACAAGUAGAUGCAGGGAAUUGGCUACCGCCAGCAGAGCGAAGCUAAUUCCUCCGCGGGUCUGGGGGCGCAGGCGCCCCAGGGCUCGCAGGAGCAGAGACGACACCCCAUCCACACUGAGACCCCAGAGCCUGGCCCCUGGGGACGGGGGCACGAGAGCUAGACCCUCACUUCCUCCUGGGAAAACGUAUACAGACGACACCCAUGUCAUGCACACGUAUACACACGCGCACGCACACCAUGUACACGCACAUGCAUGCAUGCACACGUAUAC